rnacentral:rRNA from 1 species
CAAUAGCGUAUAUUAAAGUUGUUGCAGUUAAAAAGCUCGUAGUUGGAUUUCUGGUUCAAGCGACCGGUCGGGCGUUGAUUCGUCUGCACUGGAGUCGGUUUUGGCCAUCCUCUAGGAAAGUGCGUCUGGUAUUAAGUUAUCGGGCGUAUGAUCCUGGUCUUUUACUGUGAAAAAAUUAGAGUGUUUAAAGCAGGCCUUCGCCUUGAAUACAUUAGCAUGGAAUAAUAAGAUAGGACUUUGGUCUAUUUUGUUGGUUUGCAGACCGAAGUAAUGAUUAAUAGGGAUAGUUGGGGGUAUUUAUAUUCCGAUGUCAGAGGUGAAAUUCUUAGAUUUUCGGAAGAUAGACUUAUGCGAAAGCAUUUACCAAGGAUGUUUUCAUUAA